CGUCAUCCCUGGUGGGCGGGACGACAAAUUUUGAUGACGUCACACAGGUUGCCAAUCUUCUGGAAAGGAACCGGUUCCCUGCUAGGAGCGGAACCGCGGAGAAGUGGUUCGUUUGAGAGUCGCGCGCGGGGGCGAGCAUGAUGUCGAGGGUUGCUAGGGCAACCGCGGCUGCCGGCUAAUCUCGCGCCAGCUGACGAGCCGGCACCUAGACGAGACGAGACAGACGGCAAUGGCGGCUCCCUUGGUUGUGCUGCUGGCGAGUGCCGAAAGACAACGACGCGACGAGAGGCAACGACGCGACGCGUUCGGCAUGGCCGAAGAAGAGUUUCGAAGGCAUUUUAGUCUCUCCAAAGACAUAGUGCGACGUCUUUGCGAUGAGCUGGAAGGACAUCUCGGACCUCAAAGAUUGCGUGGUGUCGACACUACGAUGAAAGUGCUGUGCGCGCUGCGGUUUUUUGCCACCGGGAGCUUUCAACAGCGCGUCGGGAAUGAAGAAGCGAUUGCACUGUCGUAGCCUUCGGUCAGCCGGAUCAUUACAGCCGUCGCCAAGGCCAUUACGGUUGUGGGCAAGGAAAAAGGAUGGGUUAGAUUCCCAUCCACGGCGCAACAGAAAGCCGCCGUCAAGGAAGGCUUUCUUAGCCGUGGAAAAAUUCCAGGAGUUCUAGGAUGUGUGGACGGGAGUCUGAUAGCCAUCGUUCGCCCUAAGAAGCUCGGCCCCGGCGAAACGGAAUCGUACUGGAGCCGUAAAGGCUAUUACACCCUCAACUGCAUGGUCGUGUGCGACGCGAAGCUGAAUAUCCUGGAAAUUGACCCACGGUUUCCGGGAUCGUGCCACGAUUCAUUCGUCUGGAGGCAUUCUACAUUUCGCCGCCGCCUCACUCGUGGCCUGUUACUUCAUGGAGAAGUCUUGCUUGGGGACUCUGGGUACCGGCUCGCGCCAUGGAUCAUGACUCCUGUGCCUGGUCACCCAAAUCGCCUCACGGCAGAGGGGCGCUAUAAUGAGGCACACGCAUCAAUGCGAAAUGCCGUUGAGCGGUGCAUAGGAGUCGUCAAGAGCCGCUUCCGAUGCCUGCAGAUGUAUCGGGUGCUCCACUACUCGCUUCAGAAAGCAGCCACUAUUGUUGCAGCUUGUGCAGCGCUGCAUAACCUCUGCCUUGCAGCAGGCGUGCCUCUGCCAGACGACCCAGAUGAUGACGGUGCACAUGACGACAGCGCACAGCGGCCAGCCCAGGCACAAGUGCCGCUUCAAGUACAGGUGCCACCGCAGGCGCACCCUGUACAGCCUUCUCGAGCUUUGUUUCAAUGAGGCCGUGCGGUGCGCGAAUCCAUAGUUGGUGUGUUUCGGCUGCCCAGAAAUUUGCGCAUUGCGUACCUGCAAAGUGUGCGCCGGCGCAUUCGCUGGCAAAUGAGGCGGAGACAUGUGCUGGUGGAACAUGUUUUAUUUUUCUUUUCAUGAAGUAAAUAGGCCGUGCACUUCAACAUAACACAUUGCGUGUGCUCACAUGUGGCUAAUCGUAGUAUGCUGCAUACUGCGGUAGUGAAAAGCACAUGAUUUGUCUAUGUUGAGCAUGACAGAUACACAUGCAGUGACAAAUAGCCAUGUGCCAUUAUGUUACUCUUUUGCUUUGUUCACUGUGCUUUUAAAUAUUGUCUUGCCAGGGCAUUUUCUUUAAAUAAAGGUUAUUUCCAAGGUGAAUGGCAACCAAUCUUGCAUAGUUGAAUAUUGCUUUGCGAUGCCUAUUUUACUGUGCAGUAUGCAUUGUUCCAAAGCUGAAGGUGUCUGUUCAUGUGUGACACACAAGCACAGCACAAGUUGCACAGCAACUGAAAUGUCGUUCAAAGCAAUCUGUAUAGCACAUAUUGAAACGUAUAGCAACAAACGAGACAUGCCAAGCACUUUUUGGAGCAGGAUUUCUUUACAUAGCAGACACUCAUGCUUACUACUGCUUUGUUUAAACUCAAGAGUUGCUUCAACAUUGCAUUUCUUGCACGCAUGAUUUCACAUAAUGCUCGUAAUUGCUGCUUAACAAGGUGCAACUACGCUAUAACACAAUAUAAACAAAAUCAUGACAAUGAAACAUUUCUUUAUUUUAUUCACUGGGUACCUGCUUUGCCAUUCAGGCAUUACAGCAGGGAGGGUACAACUCAUAUAAAUGAACACUCAAAAUUACAUUCAUAAAGCAUGGAAGAAAUCAUCAUUUGAACAAAUACAGACAGUGUCAGGUGGUAGAGUAUUUCAAUCUCUUAUAGUACGAACAUAGAAAGAGUAGCGGAAAGCGUCGCUUUUAACCUUCUAUUGCAUGGCGUCCCAUAUUUGGCACAUACCAGUUACCAUUCUUUUUCGCGUGUGCGAGAUUCCCAGUUGAGAAUGUGAUACCAUCGGAGUAAAUCUCAUAGUUAUGCGCACUUAUUAUGGGCAAGUGCUGCCAUCUCUUGAGCGAUACGCAAAACAGAGGUGAAGUAGAUUUUGGGAUGCAACGUGAAACUUGGAGGGGGCAAACACGAGCAAUUGGUUUUUUUUUCUCUGAAAAUUUCGACCGCAGAAGCAUAGAAAAAUUAUUUUGGCAUAUUUUUUGGUCUCGUCAAUUCAAGGCAGUUACUAGUUUUCUCAAUUUUGCCUGCAACUACAGCAGAGAAACCGAAAUCGGUGUGUGCCAUAUUUGGCACAGUAUGAACUUGAAAUACAAAAUAUGGUAACGUGCUGCCAUCUGUUCAAUAGCCCGAAGUUGCAGGUCACUCUAUCACAAGAUGGAAUUUUGACGAUCGGUACGGUAAGGGCGAAUUGUCUACCAAACAGCCGCCUGAAAAGCGAAAAGGAACUGAAAUGUAAAGGACGUGGUGCUUCAGA